rnacentral:tRNA from 1 species
UGGGGUAUAGCCAAGUGGUAAGGCAGCGGGUUUUGAUCCCGCCAUUCCUAGGUUCGAGUCCUAGUACCCCAGCCA